CCUACGGGAGGCAGCAGUGGGGGAUAUUGGACAAUGGGGGAAACCCUGAUCCAGCGAUGCCGCGUGAGGGAAGAAGGUUUUCGGAUUGUAAACCUCUGUGGAGGGGGACGAUAAUGACGGUACCCCUUUAGGAAGCCCCGGCUAACUACGUGCCAGCAGCCGCGGUAAUACGUAGGGGGCAAGCGUUAUCCGGAUUUACUGGGUGUAAAGGGAGCGCAGGCGGCAGCGCAAGUCUGAUGUGAAAGCCCGGGGCCCAACCGCGGGACUGCAUUGGAAACUGCGCAGCUGGAGUGCCGGAGGGGUAAGCGGAAUUCCUAGUGUAGCGGUGAAAUGCGUAGAUAUUAGGAGGAACACCAGUGGCGAAGGCGGCUUACUGGACGGCAACUGACGCUGAGGCUCGAAAGCGUGGGGAGCAAACAGGAUUAGAUACCCUUGUAGUC
rnacentral:rRNA from 1 species